UUCAAGGAGUAGUUUAAUUUAAAAUUUUAAUUUUGGAGAUUAAAGAAGGGAUUAGUCCUUUCCUU
rnacentral:tRNA from 1 species